rnacentral:rRNA from 1 species
UACAGAGGGUGCAAGCGUUGUUCGGAAUUACUGGGCGUAAAGGGCCAGUAGGCGGCCAACUAAGUCACACGUGAAAUCCCCGGGCUUAACCCGGGAACUGCGUGUGAUACUGGAUGGCUUGAAUUCGGGAGAGGGAUGCAGAAUUCCAGGUGUAGCGGUGAAAUGCGUAGAUAUCUGGAGGAAUACCGGUGGCGAAGGCGGCAUCCUGGACCGACAUUGACGCUGAACGGCGAAAGCUAGGGGAGCAAACAGG